UACCUGGUUCCCGCAUGUGGAGCCACAGGAGUUGGCGAUGACAGGUGAGGAUCUAAGGGAGGAAUAUAGCGUCGGCGCCGAGAUGACCGGGAAGGGUGUAGAUGCAAUAGUGCGUCUGUUCUAUGAACGGGGAUUGUAUACUGGAGAAGUUGUUGAGUAUGCUUGCGGAAGGCUUCUGGGUAACACUUGGUUCAUGGCAAAGCUUUUGUUCGCACCAAGUGAAGCUACGUCGCUUCGUUCAGUGCUCACGGGUGGGAGCCCGGACGUGGAUUUCUCAAGCACCGGCAUGAUCAUGAUACCCCACAACAUCGAGUCUUCCUGGUCUUUUUAUGUUUUUGAGAAGGAGCGAAAGCAAGGUCACGGUACUGGAUCCUGUGUGCACACAUUUUCCGGCUAGCCGUUACAACGCAAAGCAUGGUGCAAUUGUUCAGUUGUUGAAGGAAGGAGUGAGUCCGGGUCAUACCUGAUGCACUACGCCCAGUACUUCGAUGGGGAGCGGCUAACAAGGCAGCUGAACGUGGGCAAGGUUGCCCGUUUGAGGAAAGAACUUCUGCACGGCAUCGUCGGUAUGCAAAGGAAUGUUGGAGAGCGGCCUGCACUCUGGAACGAAGUAAAGAAUUGACAGUGGCAUUUAUAUAGUGCAGAGUAUGAUGUGGACGGUCCCGUUUGCUGUAAUAUAUAGCUUACCGUACUGCUUGCUUAGCCUGCUUGGUAGUGGUUUGGCAUAUACUUAUGACUCGCAUCGUG